CCCUUAGAUGUUCUGGGCUGCACGCGCGCUACACUGAUGCACUCAACGAGUUUACGACCUUGCCCGAUAGGGUUGGGUAAUCUUUUUAAAAUGCAUCGUGAUGGGGAUAGAUUAUUGCAAUUAUUAAUCUUCAACGAGGAAUUCCUAGUAAGCGCGAGUCAUCCGCUCGUGCUGAUUACGUCCCUGCCCUUUGUACACACCGCCCGUCGCUCCUACCGAUUGAGUGCUCAGGUGAAUAAUUCGGACUGCAGCAAUGUUUGGAUCCCGAACGUUGCAGCGGAAAGUUUAGUGAACCUUAUCACUUAGAGGAAGGAGAAGUCGUAACA
rnacentral:rRNA from 1 species